rnacentral:rRNA from 1 species
ACCCAGACUCCUACGGGAGGCAGCAGUGGGGAAUAUUGCACAAUGGGGGAAACCCUGAUACAGCGACGCCGCGUGGGCGAAGAAGUAUUUCGGUAUGUAAAGCCCUAUCAGCAGGGAAGAAGAAAUGACGGUACCUGAGUAAGAAGCACCGGCUAAAUACGUGCCAGCAGCCGCGGUAAUACGUAUGGUGCAAGCGUUAUCCGGAUUUACUGGGUGUAAAGGGAGCGCAGGCGGCACGGCAAGCCUGAUGUGAAAGCCCGCGGCCCAACCGCGGGACUGCAUUGGGAACUACCGGGCUGGAGUGCCGGAGAGGUAGGCGGAAUUCCUGGUGUAGCGGUGAAAUGCGUAGAUAUCAGGAGGAACACCGGUGGCGAAGGCGGCCUGCUGGACUGCGACUGACGUUGAGGCCCGAAAGCGUGGGGAGCAAACAGGAUUAGAUACCCCAGUAC